GCGGCCUUAGCUCAAUUGGAUAGAGCAUCGGACUACGGAUCCGAAGGUUGGGGGUUCGACUCCCUCAGGCCGCG
rnacentral:tRNA from 1 species